UGGGAAAUCCCAAGUUGAUGG
rnacentral:piRNA from 1 species